rnacentral:rRNA from 1 species
AGAGUUUGAUCCUGGCUCAGGACGAACGCUGGCGGCGUGCUUAACACAUGCAAGUCGAACGGAAAGGCCCUUCGGGGUACUCGAGUGGCGAACGGGUGAGUAACACGUGGGUGAUCUGCCCUGCACUUUGGGAUAAGCCUGGGAAACUGGGUCUAAUACCGAAUAUGACCACGCUCUUCAUGGGGUGUGGUGGAAAGCUUUUACGGUGUGGGAUGGGCCCGCGGCCUAUCAGCUUGUUGGUGGGGUAAUGGCCUACCAAGGCGACGACGGGUAGCCGGCCUGAGAGGGUGACCGGCCACACUGGGACUGAGAUACGGCCCAGACUCCUACGGGAGGCAGCAGUGGGGAAUAUUGCACAAUGGGCGCAAGCCUGAUGCAGCGACGCCGCGUGAGGGAUGACGGCCUUCGGGUUGUAAACCUCCUUCACCAGGGACGAAGCGCAAGUGACGGUACCUGGAGAAGAAGCACCGGCCAACUACGUGCCAGCAGCCGCGGUAAUACGUAGGGUGCGAGCGUUGUCCGGAAUUACUGGGCGUAAAGAGCUCGUAGGUGGUUUGUCGCGUUGUUCGUGAAAACUCACAGCUUAACUGUGGGCGUGCGGGCGAUACGGGCAGACUAGAGUACUGCAGGGGAGACUGGAAUUCCUGGUGUAGCGGUGGAAUGCGCAGAUAUCAGGAGGAACACCGGUGGCGAAGGCGGGUCUCUGGGCAGUAACUGACGCUGAGGAGCGAAAGCGUGGGGAGCGAACAGGAUUAGAUACCCUGGUAGUC